GACUACCAUAAGGAAGAGAACAUGUGAGCACAUUUGUAGAAUAAGUGACAAUUCAUUACUGAAGUUGAUCAAUGAUUAUGCUUGGUAUGGUUGAUGGAACUAAGUUACAGAAAGGGUAAGCCAAGAUGGUUGUGAAUCAACAAUGUUAAGGAAUGAUGGAAAUUGUACAGGUAGCUACAUGAUUGUGAACGGUGGAGGAAACUGAUGAAGGUCAGUUAAUGACAUAAGCACCAUCAGGUUCGCAACAAGCCCACAGAUCAUUAGUAGUUAAGCAGUACUAUAGUGGUCAUGUUAAAAAUUAUUAACACAAUGCACAUUGUGGUCUUUUGCCAAUUAGACUUAGUCUAGUAAUUACUGACCAUAAUCAUAAAUUUAUGCCAAAAUAUCAACACCAGAAC